GAAAUUGAAUGAGGAAUAUUUCCAUGGAUGAGAUUCUUUGCUAAGCUUAGAACCUGAAGAUUUUGGAGCUUGCAAAGGGAAUCUGCAUCAAUUAUCCCACUAAGAUUCAAAUUUUCAAGCCUGAUUUCUGUUACAGUAUUUCCCUGCAAAUUGCAGAUGACACCCUUCCACUUAUUUGAGCAGGGAUGUGGCACUGUUCCAUCCCAGCUUACUUGUAGCACAUUUUGGGGAUCAGCAGCUCUGAUGAAUUUUAGGAAAGAUUCAGUUUCAGAUAAAUCGCCCCCAAGACAUCCUGUGAUCAGGAGAAACACAGUA
rnacentral:misc_RNA from 1 species